rnacentral:tRNA from 3 species
GGGUCGUUAACUCAGUUGGUAGAGCAGUUGACUUUUAAUCAAUUGGUCGCAGGUUCGAAUCCUGCACGACCCACCA